rnacentral:rRNA from 10 species
GCCUGCAGCUAUACUGCCCUGCAAGCCUGACUGCAGAAGCUAAGCAUGGUCAGGCCUGGUUAAUACUUGGGAUGGGAGACUGUCCAGGAAGAUCCAGUGUUUUAUGCU